GACAGGAGGGAAAGGGUCCUCUGCUUCAAUGGAAUAAAAACUGCGCAAUUUCUUGCUGGAGUGCCCAUCCACGGCUCGGAUCGCGCACGGCGGACCCCUCUGGAGGAUGGUCCACGGGUGGUGGUCGCUGCCUCGCUCUCGUUUAUUCAUCUCAGUUGCCAGCCCAGAGGAGGAAGCGAUCACUCAGAAAAGGCGAUACGACCAUGCAGAGGUGCAACACAUGCAGACGCGUUUGCUGUGUGUGUUUUUUUUUAUCUCUCCGCUGCACCUGAAGCUGCGUCUCGAUGCUGGAUUUGGGGAUCUGUACGUGUUUUUUUAUUAUUAUUAUUUUUUUUAUGACAGAGGAAGGGGAGAAGGUUUUUUUUUUUUUUUUUUUAGGGGGCUGCGUCAUCUUCGGAUGGGCAUGGAGAGGCACUGCUGUGCAGAACCUUCUCUGCUUUUCGCCGCUGAUUCCGGGAUUCGCGUGUGAAAGAAAAAGAAUCAGGAGAAUGAACCGACUCCUCAGGGCUGUGUUUGAGGAUCCUCCAGCGCCUGACUGAAGUCACCGAGUGAUGACUGAUGGCUGCCGACCGACCGAACGAGAUGGACGAGAUGCACGGCGACACCUGCAGCUGCAAAAGUCCUCCAUCGUCUUUAAAGAGACGGAGGGGGCGGGCCGAACCUGCAUCCGUCUGCGAGCGUACGGAGCGUUCCUGCUCAGAAUAAUGAAGAAAGUGCUGGAGUCCCC